rnacentral:rRNA from 1 species
UACGGGGGGAGCAAGCGUUGUUCGGAUUUACUGGGCGUAAAGGGCGCGUAGGCGGUCGUGACAAGUCACUUGUGAAAGCCCCCGGCUCAACCGGGGAACUGCGCUUGAAACCGAGUGGCUCGAGUCAGCUAGAGGUACACGGAACUUCCAGUGGAGCGGUGAAAUGUGUUGAUAUUGGAAGGAACACCGGAGGCGAAAGCGGUGUACUGGGGCUGGUCUGACGCUGAGGCACGAAAGCCAGGGGAGCGAACGGG